GACGAACGCUGGCGGCGUGCCUAAUACAUGCAAGUCGAACGCAUUUUCUUUCACCGUAGCUUGCUACACCGAAAGAAAAUGAGUGGCGAACGGGUGAGUAACACGUGGGUAACCUGCCCAUCAGCGGGGGAUAACACUUGGAAACAGGUGCUAAUACCGCAUAAUUCCAUUUACCGCAUGGUAGAUGGGUGAAAGGCGCUUUUGCGUCACUGAUGGAUGGACCCGCGGUGCAUUAGCUAGUUGGUGGGGUAACGGCCUACCAAGGCUGCGAUGCAUAGCCGACCGGGGGGGGUGAUGGGCCACACGGGGACUGGGAACCGGCCCAGACUCCUACGGGGGGAAGGAGUAGGGAAUCUUCGGAAAGGGACGCAAGUCUGCCCGGGAAACGCCGGGUGAGUGAAGAAGUUUUUCGGAUCGUAAAACUCUGUUUUUAGAGAAAAAAAAGGAUGGGAGGGGAAAGUUAACCCCUGGGCGGGAUCUAACCAGAAAGCCGCGGUUAACUACGU
rnacentral:rRNA from 1 species